UUAAGCGACUAAGCGUACACGGUGGAUGCCCUGGCAGUCAGAGGCGAUGAAGGACGUGCUAAUCUGCGAAAAGCGUCGGUAAGGUGAUAUGAACCGUUAUAACCGGCGAUGUCCGAAUGGGGAAACCCAGUGCAAUUCGUUGCACUAUCGUUAACUGAAUACAUAGGUUAACGAGGCGAACCGAGGGAACUGAAACAUCUAAGUACCCCGAGGAAAAGAAAUCAACCGAGAUUCCCCCAGUAGCGGCGAGCGAACGGGGAGCAGCCCAGAGUCUGAAUCAGCUUGUGUGUUAGUGGAACGGUCUGGAAAGUCCGACGGUACAGGGUGAUAGUCCCGUACACCAAAAUGCACAGGUUGUGAACUCGAAGAGUAGGGCGGGACACGUGGUAUCCUGUCUGAAUAUGGGGGGACCAUCCUCCAAGGCUAAAUACUCCUGACUGACCGAUAGUGAACCAGUACCGUGAGGGAAAGGCGAAAAGAACCCCGGCGAGGGGAGUGAAAAAGAACCUGAAACCGUGUACGUACAAGCAGUGGGAGCACCUUCGGGUGUGACUGCGUACCUUUUGUAUAAUGGGUCAGCGACUUAUAUUCUGUAGCAAGGUUAACCGUAUAGGGGAGCCGCAGGGAAACCGAGUCUUAACUGGGCGUUAAGUUGCAGGGUAUAGACCCGAAACCCGGUGAUCUAGCCAUGGGCAGGUUGAAGGUUGGGUAACACUAACUGGAGGACCGAACCGACUAAUGUUGAAAAAUUAGCGGAUGACUUGUGGCUGGGGGUGAAAGGCCAAUCAAACCGGGAGAUAGCUGGUUCUCCCCGAAAGCUAUUUAGGUAGCGCCUCGUGAACUCAUCUUCGGGGGUAGAGCACUGUUUCGGCUAGGGGGUCAUCCCGACUUACCAACCCGAUGCAAACUACGAAUACCGAAGAAUGUUAUCACGGGAGACACACGGCGGGUGCUAACGUCCGUCGUGAAGAGGGAAACAACCCAGACCGCCAGCUAAGGUCCCAAAGUCAUGGUUAAGUGGGAAACGAUGUGGGAAGGCACAGACAGCCAGGAUGUUGGCUUAGAAGCAGCCAUCAUUUAAAGAAAGCGUAAUAGCUCACUGGUCGAGUCGGCCUGCGCGGAAGAUGUAACGGGGCUAAACCAUGCACCGAAGCUGCGGCAGCGACACUAUGUGUUGUUGGGUAGGGGAGCGUUCUGUAAGCCUGUGAAGGUGUGCUGUGAGGGUUGCUGGAGGUAUCAGAAGUGCGAAUGCUGACAUAAGUAACGAUAAAGCGGGUGAAAAGCCCGCUCGCCGGAAGACCAAGGGUUCCUGUCCAACGUUAAUCGGGGCAGGGUGAGUCGACCCCUAAGGCGAGGCCGAAAGGCGUAGUCGAUGGGAAACAGGUUAAUAUUCCUGUACUUGGUGUUACUGCGAAGGGGGGACGGAGAAGGCUAUGUUAGCCGGGCGACGGUUGUCCCGGUUUAAGCAUGUAGGCUGGUUGUCCAGGCAAAUCCGGAUAAUCAAGGCUGAGGUGUGAUGACGAGGCACUACGGUGCUGAAGUAACAAAUGCCCUGCUUCCAGGAAAAGCCUCUAAGCAUCAGGUAACAUCAAAUCGUACCCCAAACCGACACAGGUGGUCAGGUAGAGAAUACCAAGGCGCUUGAGAGAACUCGGGUGAAGGAACUAGGCAAAAUGGUGCCGUAACUUCGGGAGAAGGCACGCUGGUGUGUAGGUGAAGUCCCUGCGGAUGGAGCUGAGACCAGUCGAAGAUACCAGCUGGCUGCAACUGUUUAUUAAAAACACAGCACUGUGCAAACACGAAAGUGGACGUAUACGGUGUGACGCCUGCCCGGUGCCGGAAGGUUAAUUGAUGGGGUUAUCCGUAAGGAGAAGCUCUUGAUCGAAGCCCCGGUAAACGGCGGCCGUAACUAUAACGGUCCUAAGGUAGCGAAAUUCCUUGUCGGGUAAGUUCCGACCUGCACGAAUGGCGUAAUGAUGGCCAGGCUGUCUCCACCCGAGACUCAGUGAAAUUGAACUCGCUGUGAAGAUGCAGUGUACCCGCGGCAAGACGGAAAGACCCCGUGAACCUUUACUAUAGCUUGACACUGAACAUUGAGCCUUGAUGUGUAGGAUAGGUGGGAGGCUUUGAAGCGUGGACGCCAGUCUGCGUGGAGCCAACCUUGAAAUACCACCCUUUAAUGUUUGAUGUUCUAACGUUGGCCCCUGACCGGGGUUGCGGACAGUGUCUGGUGGGUAGUUUGACUGGGGCGGUCUCCUCCCAAAGCGUAACGGAGGAGCACGAAGGUUAGCUAAUCCUGGUCGGACAUCAGGAGGUUAGUGCAAUGGCAUAAGCUAGCUUGACUGCGAGCGUGACGGCGCGAGCAGGUGCGAAAGCAGGUCAUAGUGAUCCGGUGGUUCUGAAUGGAAGGGCCAUCGCUCAACGGAUAAAAGGUACUCCGGGGAUAACAGGCUGAUACCGCCCAAGAGUUCAUAUCGACGGCGGUGUUUGGCACCUCGAUGUCGGCUCAUCACAUCCUGGGGCUGAAGUAGGUCCCAAGGGUAUGGCUGUUCGCCAUUUAAAGUGGUACGCGAGCUGGGUUUAGAACGUCGUGAGACAGUUCGGUCCCUAUCUGCCGUGGGCGCUGGAGAAUUGAGGGGGGCUGCUCCUAGUACGAGAGGACCGGAGUGGACGCAUCACUGGUGUUCGGGUUGUCAUGCCAAUGGCACUGCCCGGUAGCUAAAUGCGGAAGAGAUAAGUGCUGAAAGCAUCUAAGCACGAAACUUGCCCCGAGAUGAGUUCUCCCUGAGACUUUAAGUCUCCUGAAGGAACGUUAAAGACGAUGACGUUGAUAGGCCGGGUGUGUAAGCGCAGCGAUGCGUUGAGCUAACCGGUACUAAUGAACCGUGAGGCUUAACCUU
rnacentral:rRNA from 1 species